rnacentral:rRNA from 1 species
UACAGAGGUCUCAAGCGUUGUUCGGAUUCAUUGGGCGUAAAGGGUGCGUAGGCGGUGCGGUAAGUCGGGUGUGAAAUCUCGGAGCUUAACUCCGGAACUGCAUUCGAUACUGCCGUGCUUGAGGACUGGAGAGGAGACUGGAAUUUACGGUGUAGCGGUGAAAUGCGUAGAUAUCGUAAGGAAGACCAGUGGCGAAGGCGGGUCUCUGGACAGUUCCUGACGCUGAGGCACGAAGGUCAGGGGAGCAAACGGG